rnacentral:rRNA from 1 species
ACGGGAGGCAGCAGUGAGGAAUAUUGGUCAAUGGGCGGAAGCCUGAACCAGCCAUGCCGCGUGAAGGAGUAAGGUCCUAUGGAUUGUAAACUUCUUUUGAGCGGGAGCAAUAAGGCGUACGAGUACGCCGAUGAGAGUACCGUUCGAAUAAGCAUCGGCUAACUCCGUGCCAGCAGCCGCGGUAAUACGUAGGGAGCAAGCGUUAUCCGGAAUUACUGGGUGUAAAGGGAGUGUAGGCGGGACUGUAAGUCAGAUGUGAAAUAUGCCGGCUCAACUGGCAGACUGCAUUUGAAACUGCGGUUCUUGAGUGAAGUAGAGGUAAGCGGAAUUCCUAGUGUAGCGGUGAAAUGCGUAGAUAUUAGGAGGAACAUCAGUGGCGAAGGCGGCUUACUGGGCUUUAACUGACGCUGAGGCUCGAAAGCGUGGGGAGCAAACAGGAUUAGAUACCCUGGUA